GUUCCAGUUAGAAUGGGAAGAAUCCCCAAGACUACUGACCUCCUUGCUUGGUCCCCAGUCCAGUUAAGCCAGCUGACCUGGAUUGUGAGCUCCAUUUUGAGGAAGAACUCAGACCAACCAUCCUUCAUUCCUCUCCGUGCUUUGCUUCUGACUCUCCAGGCUUUGCUACCUCACUUUUACACAGCUUUCCGACUUUUGACCCGGGCUCUACUUGAAGUUUCAGAGGAUCAGGACCUGGGAGGACAACAAGUUCUUCAUUUAGUAGAUUGAACCAACAGAAGAAAAAUCUAAAACUGAAAAUGAAUAUAGACCCAGCAGCAUCAAUUAAAGAAAUCAAUACAACAUCAUCAACAGAAUCAGAUCCAUCAGUCAUAUUCAACAUGUUUGGAGAGAAGAACAGGAACCCAAAUCCUGCCUGGAGGCAGGAGGAUAGCCCAGAUGAGCUCCUGCAUGCUCCCCUAGUCUAAGAGUUUUCAAUAGUUCAGCACUAGAAAAGUUACCCAGCCAUCUCCAGCAAAAUCACCUUGUAUUUUUUUAUACAUUUUUAUAUAAGCCAGC